GACGAACGCUGGCGGCGUGCUUAACACAUGCAAGUCGAACGGAAAGGCCCUGCUUUUGUGGGGUGCUCGAGUGGCGAACGGGUGAGUAACACGUGAGUAACCUGCCCUUGACUUUGGGAUAACUUCAGGAAACUGGGGCUAAUACCGGAUAGGAGCUCCUGCUGCAUGGUGGGGGUUGGAAAGUUUCGGCGGUUGGGGAUGGACUCGCGGCUUAUCAGCUUGUUGGUGGGGUAGUGGCUUACCAAGGCUUUGACGGGUAGCCGGCCUGAGAGGGUGACCGGCCACAUUGGGAUUGAGAUACGGCCCAGACUCCUACGGGAGGCAGCAGUGGGGAAUAGUGCACAAUGGGCGGAAGCCUGAUGCAGCAACGCCGCGUGCGGGAUGACGGCCUUCGGGUUGUAAACCGCUUUCGCCUGUGACGAAGCGUGAGUGACGGUAAUGGGUAAAGAAGCACCGGCUAACUACGUG
rnacentral:rRNA from 1 species